rnacentral:rRNA from 1 species
UCGGGAAUUUUGGGCAAUGGGCGAAAGCCUGACCCAGCAACGCCGCGUGAAGGAUGAAGUAUUUCGGUAUGUAAACUUCGAAAGAAUAGGAAGAAUAAAUGACGGUACUAUUUAUAAGGUCCGGCUAACUACGUGCCAGCAGCCGCGGUAAUACGUAGGGACCAAGCGUUGUUCGGAUUUACUGGGCGUAAGGGCGCGUAGGCGGCAAUUCAAGUCAUCUGUGAAAUCUCCGGGCUUAACUCGGAACGGUCAGAUGAUACUGCUUUGCUAGAGUGCAGAAGGGGCAAUCGGAAUUCUUGGUGUAGCGGUGAAAUGCGUAGAUAUCAAGAGGAACACCUGAGGUGAAGACGGGUUGCUGGGCUGACACUGACGCUGAGGCGCGAAAGCCAGGGGAGCAAACGGGAUUAGAUACCCCAGUAGUCCCUGAGCGGGCUGGCAAGGCGCAU